CCCUUCAGAGGGGGACAACAGUUGGAAACGACUGCUAAUACCGCAUACGAUCCAAUCUCGGCAUCGAGACUGGAUGAAAGGUGGCCUCUAUUUAUAAGCUAUCACUGAAGGAGGGGAUUGCGUCUGAUUAGCUAGUUGGAGGGGUAACGGCCCACCAAGGCGAUGAUCAGUAGCCGGUCUGAGAGGAUGAACGGCCACAUUGGGACUGAGACACGGCCCAG
rnacentral:rRNA from 2 species